GAAUGACUUCAAGGGUGUACGAUUACUAUUGUUUUUAAUUAUUGUUUAUAAAGCGCCAACAAAUUCUGCAGCGCGGUACAAUAUUUAAUACAUGAAACAUCUGAAAUAGAGGGGGUGGAUAUCAUAGGUAAUCAAAGGUCAUUUUGUGGGUGUGCCAGGUCUGGUAUGUUUACAGUGUGUUACUGUUUGUUGUCGUGUGUAAUCACGUAGUUUAUUGCUUUAUUCUAAAAUUCUCUAUAGAUAAAGAAUACCUGAAUUACUCCACACACUGAAUAGGAGUCUGGGAAGUGUUUGUUUCCUCUGAAAGUAACUGCCUGAAUAGUUAAUUCUGUGUAUUUUCUUUGUUUGAGUUUUGGUUGAACCAACAUCAAGAUGUGCAGGUAUUUCAUGACGUGUUUUUCCAGUUUGCUUUUAGACCAAAGCAAGGGCCUAUUUUAUAGCAGAGUUCUUCAAACCUAUUUUCAGGAGCCACCAACUGGCUACAAAUGUAAGGAUGUACUAAAAUGCACAGUCAUUUCAAUUAAAAUGGGUGAGCCUAUGGUUAAACAGCAGAACAUAGCCUGUUGGUAAGUCCUAUUGUUGGGCUUGAUUUCUAAAUACAUUUAAGAAAGAAAGAUGCAUGCUACUGUCCUUUAUUGAUGACAUUCUGCAUGAUUAUUACCGGUAAUGCGUUUUACUGAACAGUGCUUUCCAGAUUUUAGGUCUUUAUAUUGUAAAGUGUGUUUACAAUGUUCUAU